ensembl:lncRNA
GAUGAGGUAAUGCUCCGCUGCCCUCCCACAGUCGGGCCCUUCUUUCCCCUCCCCCCCGCGGGACGCCCCCCCCGCGCGUGGCUCCGGCCGGCCCGGUGCAUUGUGGGCUGACGUCGUGGGGUUUGACGGGGGACGGCGCCCGCGGCCUCGGGCAGGCGGGCUUGGGGCGGGCUGCUGCGCGGCGGACGGCACUGCUCCCGGGCCGCGCGGGCCGGCCCCCGCUUCCGGCGGGAGCGGCCUCAGGGCUCGCGGCCCCGGGUGGGCGCGGGGCGGCUCCCGCUCGGGCGGGCCGCGUGGAGGCGCGCGGGCGCCUGUCCCUGCCGAGCUCGCGGGCGGCCGCCGCCCCGGCGGGGCGCUCAGGGAAUCCGACACUCGGAGAACCCGGGCGCGCCCGCUCCCGCCGCCGCGCGCUCACGCUCGCUCACAUUCGCUCACACUCACACGCGCCCCGCUCCCGCCCCGAUCCGCUUCCGGGAAGACGGCUCCGAGAGGGCCGCCGCAGCCCCGCCGGGCCGGGCUGGGCCGGGCCGGGGCCGGGGAAGGUGGGCGCCGGCCGGCGGCGGGCCCGCGUCCUGCGGCCUCUAGGAAGCGCUAGACCCAUGCUGGCGGCCGCUCCGACGCCGCCGCCCCCGCGCCUCUGGGGCCAGAAAACUUGGGGGAUCCACCUUGGACUUGUAACCGCGAGCCUGAAAGUGUUUGUGGCUUUGAGAGUGGAGAGUCGACAGCCCGACAGCAGCCGUGUUAGCGGGAUCCUGAGCACUUUUCUCCCCUCCAGGCGCUCACCUCCUUCCCUGUGCGAAGACUUUGUUGUAAAAUGUGGUUGUCUGCAGAGGAAAUGACACUUAGAUGGUCGGAUGGAAGGAACGGUCUUGCCUGAUUCUCUAACUCCUCUCAGAGUGCCUGUAUUUAGAAACUUCAGGACUUAAGGAGACUUCUGCUCACCGUGUUCCCUGGAGGCCUCGCGCUGAAGAGGACUGCAUCCUGGCGCGUGCUUCUCGCUCCUGUCUUGGCUGGGGGGCGAGGAGGCCGCGGAUUAUUCACUGGCUCUCAGAGCAUCCACCUGGAAGUGACACUCUGCACUUUUGCUCCUGCAUCACUGGCCAAAGGUUGGCAGGGACGCUGGUCACAUUGCUUUGCUCUGGGACGCAGCCUGAUGGAGCACCGGCUUUCAGGAACGUCACAGAUCUCGUGGAAGAGGGAGAAGGUGGGCAGUUGCAGGCCUCUUCCACAUGGACAACGAGUGUGUAAAUCCUGUGGACAGAUUGAUCUGAGAAGAGAGAGCAAAUGGCUGAGAUGGGCAUGCUGGGUCUUUCUCCUGAACUCAGCAAUCAGCUUGGAUAUGUGCAUCCACAUCACAAUUGGAGUAAAGAGGCAGAAAUGAAGAAAGCUGAAAUACAACUAUGCAAGUGAAUUGAGUUAUUGGAGGGUAUGCGUGGACUAGACUUUUGUCAAGGAGGAAUGUGUACCUGUUGUAUACACCGUCACCCUUAUGGCAAUGUCUUCCCAGCACUCACACUUCCACAAAACCUGAGGGGUCAUAAAGUGGCAAGAGUCCUUAGAGGCUGUCUUCCAAGUCCUGCCCUUUUCCCAAUCCUGGAUCCCUUUGGCAGCAUCUUCACUGUUUAAAUACUUCUUUUGAUACUCAGAGCUGGGGAGUGAUAAUUCUACUGAAUGCUGCUGGUUGGAGCUCAUUGGGAACAUUGUGGACCUGAAACUGUGGAGAGCAACUUCGACCAAGCAGAGAGAUCUCAGAGAAGGUCGGCCAAGUGGUGAGAAGCUUGACACUCUGUCCCACAGAGAGGAAUUGAAGGCCCUGGGAAUAUUUACCCAGGGGGGAAAAUAAAAGACCAUGAGAGCACAUACGGAAGUCUCCAAAUAGUUGUGCAACUGUCACCUGGGAGAGUUGACUUAUUCUGUAGGUUUUGAGGUCAGAGUGAGGGUAAUGGUUAGAAGUUAGAGAGGCAAACUGCUGUAUUUAAGGCAGAACUUUCUGAAGUUACAGUCAUUUAUCAAUGGGAUAGUUGCCUUAAAAGUAGAUUUGAAGUUCAUCUGUUCAAUACAUCGUUAUUGUCUACUCUGUGCCAGACAGCAUGCUGGGUUAGUUUAUGAUAAUUCCUAGUGAGCCCAUAGUAACUUGCAAUCAUCAUUUUAUUUUCAAAGUUCAUAAAAGCCAUCUUUAGAUAUUCUCUUUUAGAAUAUGUCGGGGAAUGGUCACCAAUAUUGGUGGUUUCUCAAGUCUGGCGUUGACCCUUUUUUUACUCUCAAAAUUUGAAAACCUGGGAUGAUAUUUUCUUAUGUCCAGUGUUAAGUUAGAAGGACCUUCUUCUACCAAAACAAGUGUUUUCACUAUCCAUAAAUCAAAAUUACUGGUACUUGAGAUCACUUAAGACUAGAUACUCCCUUGCCAUUUGUGGCAGAAGAACUUCAGUGUUCACCAAACUCUUUUUCCUUUUCCUCCUGUGCAUGCAGAUAAACUACAUUUCCCAGCCUCCUUUGUAAUUAAGUGUGGCCAUGUGGCUGGGUUUUAGCCAAUGAAAAGAGGAUGAAUGUAGUGUGUGCUACUUACAAGCCUGGCUCAUAAAACUCUCUCUUCCCAUCUCCUGGUUAAAUAUCAGGGACGGGACGUAGAGAAGGUCAGAGCCGUAGAUGGAAGGAGCUGGAUUUCUGAAUGACCGCAUGGAAGAUUGCCCGCCAAGCAGGAACAGUCGCAUUGGACUUUGCCUGAGUGAGAAAUCAACUUUAUUGUGUCGAAGCACCAAGAUUUUGGAGUAUAAAUGUGAAGCUGCUAGGGUCUUCUUAUUCCAACUGGUACUACAGGAUAUCCUCAAUGAGAGGAAAAAUAUGCAACUGAAGUUAGGGAUUGUGUACUGCCCUUUCCAGUCUUAAGAGAACUCAGAGAGGAGGCAGGAGCAGACAACUUAGCCCUGAGUGGCAUCCUGAGGCUUCCUGUUGCUAAUGUUUUCUCCUGUCUAAUUUAUAAACUUCGUGAGACAUGUUGCCAUGUCUUGUACCUUUUUCUAUAUUUAACAUUUCAGUGGAUAUUUAUUGAGAAAUGACAUAUACUUUGGGGAUUUCAAAAGAAAUAUAGGUAACACAUAUUGUUAAAUAUUUUGUUCAUUUAUUCAACAAUUUUUGACCAUUUGCUAUGGGCCGGCCACUGGUAAAUGCUGAUGAGCAAAAGCUACAGUACCUGCCCAUGAGUUGGAGUACAGCAAGGAAAACAAGAUAACAAAGAGGCAAGACUAGUCCAGUAUGAUAAUGCUAUGAGGAAGAAGAACAGGAUGUUCUGGGUGCUCACAAAGGGGCUGGUGACAAAGGUAGCAGUCAGAGAAUUGUUCUCUAAGGAGGUGAUGAAUAAACUGAGACCUCAAGGAUAAGUAGGAGUAGCCAGAAGAAGAAACAGCGGAGAGAGAAAGAGCGUUCUAGGAAGAGGGCGUGCACAUACAAAAUCCUGAAGGUGGGGCGUGUUUGGAGGGACCAAAAGGUAAGCUGGAAAGGAAGAAUGGAGAGGAUGAGCAUGAGAUGAGGGCCACGUAAUAUAUUUGGGCACAUUCCUAAUAAAUGCAUACAGAAGGCCUUGUACUGUAAUAUGUGUAUGCAUUUACCUAGCAGAAAAUAUGGCCGAUUAACCAGCAAGAUGUCAACAGUUGUGAUAUUUGGGUAAUUUCCAUUUUUCCCCUUAUGCUUUUCUGUUUAAAACUUUCCACAAUAAACACGUAUUACACUUGUAAUAAAAAAAUCAAAAUAGGGCCAGCCCCAUGGCCGAGUGGUUAAAGUUCCGCGCACUCUGCUUUGGCGGCCCGGGGUUUGCGGGUUUGGAUCCUGGGCCUGGACCUGCUCCACUCAUCAGCCAUGCGGUGGUGGCAUCCCACAUACUAAGUAGAGGAAGAUUGGCACAGAUGUUAGCUCAGGGCUAAUCGUCCUCAAGCAAAAAAAAGAGGAAGAUUGGCACAGAUGUUAGCUCAGGGCGAAUCUUCCUCACGCACACACAAAAUAAAUCAAAGUCAAUGUUUUUCUUAUUAGUUAUAGCUGCACCUGCUGUCCAUCAUUGGAUCCUCACAAAAGUCCUCUGAGCAAACAGAGGUCCAGAGCUGAUCUCCAGGGAAGCUGGAAUCAGCCUUCCUAAGGCCCCGCUCAGUCCCCUUUCUCCGCGGCUCCUGCCUCCUCUGCAGUUUUCUGAGUGGUGACGAUGGCUUUUCUUGUUGCUGCUGUCUUCAGGGCAGUGGUGCGUGUGUGUGUAGUUUGCAACCUGGAGAAACCGGGUCACCAUCUUCAUGAUCCUGACAUACCUAGGAGGCUUCCCACCUGAAGAGGUGGGUCCCCUGCAUCAGUAGCCCCAGACUUAUCUUCUUUGUGGUGCUGUUAUGUUCUGUCAUUGGCAGUAGGGGAGAAGGUCACUGCUAAUUUUUAAAAAUGAAGUUAGGGAGGAGAUUGUUGCCCGUUAUUCCGUCAACCCACAUCUUGAUCGACUAGCAUGUGGGUGCUUGGCCACACCAGUGAUGAUGAGUAUUUUCAGUGAACACCCAAACACUUGAGAGUCUUGAAACACUGUAUUAGCAUUUUCUAAAUUAUGUUGUGGCAACAAACCAGCCCUCAGAUCUCAGAGGCUUAAAACACACGAGUUUAUUUCAUAUGCAUGUUACGUUCCCAUCCUGACUUAGGCGUUAACUCUUUACUCUGAGACCCAGGCUGAAGGAGCAGCCCCCGUCUGAGAUAUUGCUGUGUGUCCCAGGGAAGAGGAGGAGGUGACACCGUGGGAUAGCUCUUAAAGCUUUGCCCGCAUGUCACUUCCACUCAUCUUUGAUUGGUCAAUCAAUUUGAUUGACCAAGGCUUGAUGGGGAGGGAGGGGCAGCAAAUGGUUUGGCAAACACCUUUUCAGCAAACUGAGUCUCAGUUUCUUUAGCUACAAAAUGGAAAUAGGUAAAAUACGUUAUGUUAUAUUCAAACCAUCGAAUAUCAUGUAGUCAUUUUAAAAGAUGAGUUAAUUGCCCUUAAAAAGAUGAGUUGACUUGAAGAAAAGCCCAUGAUACAACAUUACAUGAAGGAAGCAAGUUGCAGAGUCAUGUGCAUAGCAUGGGCUUAUUUUUGCAUAAAUUAAAAAAAACCCUAUAUCGGAGUAUAUUUGUUUGCAUGAGAAUAUUAAUAAAAACUGCCAACGUUUAUUGAGUGCUUAUAUCACAUGCUCAUCACUGUGCUAAGUGCCUUUUUACAUGCAUUUGCUCAUUUAAUCCUUCGGAAGCUCAGAGAAAAGAGUAGAAAGUUACAUAUCAAAUGGUUAUGAUCAGCUACCUUACUUGAGGGUGGGAUUAGAGAGAUUUUAUUCACUUUUUAAAAUAUAUGAUUUCUAUAAAUUUUUACUUGUCACAAUUGGUGGAUUAAUCAGCUUUUGUUGUGAAACAAACUGCCACAGAAUCUGAGUGCUGUAGAGUGUUAAGUAUUUUAUUUUCCGCUUGUGGGUCCGCAGACCAGCUGAGGCGUCAGCCUUCCCAAGUCCCCAUCCCCUUUCUCCCCACUGUGCCUGCCUCCCCUGCACAUUUCUAAGGAGUGAUGAUGGCUUUUCCUGGAGCUGCUGACUUUAGUGCAGUGUUGUGUGUAUUCACGUGUAACCUGGAGAAAUAGGGCUGGGGGUCAAAUUCAGAUCUGCUCCAUGUGUCUCAUUCUAGAAUCAUCCUAGAGAGGCAGAAUCUACCAGGGAUCUGUUCCCCUCAUGGCGGAGAUUGGAGUCAAUGGAAACACAGGAAGGUUUUUGAGACCGAGGCUUUGAAUUAGUAUGUCAUCACUUUGCCUGCAUCAUGUUAGUUGCAGCAAGUCACUUGGCCAAGUCUAAUAUCAGUGGAGCUGGGAAGUCAUGGAGGUUGUGGAAGGGGGAGUUUAUAGCAAUAUACUACAAUAAGCAUUAAUUGCUUUCUUGGUUAAAAAAAAUAACAAAGUGAGGAAAAGAGAAAUACUUACCAGGGAUAGUUUAAAUUGCGUUCAAUAUGUUCCAAAGGUGCAUUAUGCAUUUCUUAAAAAUUCAAACUCCAUAUCUACAGUUAUGAUGAGCACAGUGACAUGAGCACGGACGUUUAAUGAACAGAGUCUUCAUCGCCUGGUGGGGCAGGGAGGCGUUUGCACCAGCUUGGCUUAUGCUGCCUGUGGUGUGGCAGAAUGCAUUAUCUGGAGACGUUUAACGGCCUUCUGUAUACAUCACUGCUACUUGUGUGACCAUCUGCAAUCCAAGGAACUUAAAUCAUGAAAUCACAGACUCUCAGACCUGGAAGGACUCUGGUGCCCGUAGUAGGGGGCUGCCUCCUAAUUUCCAUGGACAGCUGCGUUUGCCAGUUAUAGUCAUUCUUGAGUGGGUGUGUCUCACAUUGCUGGAAAAUGGUUAUGGACAUCAAAAUGCCUUCAUCUAGCCAAUGGGGACAGUGAGCCCCCAGCUGUGCUGUACCUGAGUGAUACAGUAAGUUAGUGGCCAAACUGGGAUGGAAACUCAGAUGUCUUGAGUGGGCCUAGGGCCUUUUACAUUAUUUUUCUGCAAAACACAAACAUCAAGGUUAUGGAUCAUUUGGGAAUAUUCAUUAGGCCCUGGAACUUCCAUUUGCUGUCUUUAAAAAAUGUAUGAGGGGCUGGCCCCGUGGCCGAGUGGUUAAGUUCGCGCGCUCCGCUGCAGGCGGCCCAGUGUUUCGUUGGUUCGAAUCCUGGGCGCGGACAUGGCACUGCUCAUCAAACCACACUGAGGCAGCGUCCCACAUGCCACAACUAGAAGGACCCACAACGAAGAAUAUACAACUAUGUACCGGGGGCUUUGGGGAGAAAAAGAAAAAU